rnacentral:tRNA from 1 species
GCCGGGAUGGCGGAAUUGGUAGACGCACGGGACUCAAAAUCCCGCGGUCGAAAGGCCAUGAGAGUUCGAUUCUCUCUCCCGGCA